rnacentral:piRNA from 1 species
UGCAACUGCUCUUUUUCCAUC